ACAUUCUGUGGCGAGCUUAACCGAAUAGGGGAGGCGCAGCGAAAGCGAGUUCGAAAUGAGCGUCCAGUCGCAGGGUGUAGACCCGAAACCAGAUGAGCUAUCCAUGGCCAGGUUGAAGGUGUGGUAACACACACUGGAGGACCGAACCGACUAGUGUUGCAAAAUUAGCGGAUGAGCUGUGGAUAGGGGUGAAAGGCCAAACAAAUCUGGAGAUAGCUGGUUCUCCCCGAAAACUAUUGAGGUAGUGCCUCGUGUGUCGCUCCAGGGGGUAGAGCACUGUUUUGGCUAGGGGGACAUGGAGUCUUACCAAACCAAGGCAAACUCCGAAUACCUGGAAGCGUAAGCACGGGAGACAGAGCACCGGGUGCUAACGUCCGGACUCAAAAGGGAAACAACCCAGACCGCCGGCUAAGGUCCCAAAUAACAGCUAAGUGGAAAACGAAGUGGAAAGGCCGUGACAACCAGGAAGUUGGCUUAGAAGCAGCCAUCCUUCAAAGAAAGCGUAAUAGCUCACUGGUCGAGUCCUUCUGCGCGGAAGAUGUAACGGGGCUAAGCUGUUAACCGAAGCCGCGGAUGCGCUGGUUAUCCAGUGCGUGGUAGGGGAGCGUUCUGUAAGUCUGCGAAGGCGGUUCGAGAGGACUGCUGGAGAUAUCAGAAGUGCGAAUGCUGACAUGAGUAACGUUAAAGCAGGUGAAAAGCCUGCUCGCCGUAAGCCCAAGGAUUCCUGCUCUACGUUCAUCGGAGCAGGGUGAGUCGGCUCCUAAGGUCAGGCCGAAAGGCGUAGCCGAUGGGAAUCAGGUUAAUAUUCCUGAACCUGCGUCAGAUGCGAUGGGGGGACGGAGCAUGAAAGAUCAUCCGGGUGUUGGAUGUCCCGGUUGACGAGCGUAGGAGGUCUGCAGGCAAAUCCGCAGACGCAUCUCCAAGGCGAAGUCACGUGCCGCCACGGCGGCGAAGUGAUCGGAAGUGCUUCCAAGAAAAGCCUCUAAGCACCAGUCUGACGCGGACCGUACCGCAAACCGACACUGGUGGGCGAGCUGAAUAUGCUCAGGCGCUUGAGAGAACUCGGGAGAAGGAACUCGGCAAAUUGACCCCGUAACUUCGGAAGAAGGUGUGCCGUAGUACCGUGAGAGGAGAGACACCUUGAGCGGGAAUCGGUCUCAGAGAAUAGGUGGCUGCGACUGUUUAUUAAAAACACAGCACUCUGCAAAGUCGAAAGACGACGUAUAGGGUGUGAUGCCUGCCCGGUGCUGGAAGAUUAAUUGAUGGGGUGAGAGCCCUUGAUCGAAGUCCCAGUAAACGGCGGCCGUAACUAUAACGGUCCUAAGGUAGCGAAAUUCCUUGUCGGGUAAGUUCCGACCUGCACGAAUGGCAUAACGAUGGCCACACUGUCUCCUCCCGAGACUCAGUGAAGUUGAAAUGUUUGUGAUGAUGCAAUCUACCCGCGGCUAGACGGGAAGACCCCAUGAACCUUUACUGCAGCUUUGCAUUGAACUGUGAACCGAUUUGUGUAGGAUAGGUGGGAGGCAGAGAAGAGGCCACGCCAGUGGCCUUGGAGCCGACCUUGAAAUACCACCCUGAUUUGUUUGCGGUUCUAACCACGGACAGUGAUCCUGUCUUGGGACCGUGCAUGGUAGGCAGUUUGACUGGGGCGGUCUCCUCCUAAAGGGUAACGGAGGAGUACGAAGGUACGCUAGGUACGGUCGGAAAUCGUGCUGAUAGUGCAAUGGCAAAAGCGUGCUUGACUGCGAGAGCAACAACUCGAGCAGAUGCGAAAGCAGGUCAUAGUGAUCCGGUGGCUCUGAAUGGAAGGGCCAUCGCUCAACGGAUAAAAGGUACUCUGGGGAUAACAGGCUGAUACCGCCCAAGAGUUCAUAUCGACGGCGGUGUUUGGCACCUCGAUGUCGGCUCAUCUCAUCCUGGGGCUGUAGUCGGUCCCAAGGGUAUGGCUGUUCGCCAUUUAAAGAGGUACGUGAGCUGGGUUUAAAACGUCGUGAGACAGUUUGGUCCCUAUCUGCCGUGGGCGUUGGAAGAUUGACGGGGGCUGCUCCUAGUACGAGAGGACCGGAGUGGACGCACCU
rnacentral:rRNA from 1 species